UAAACACCAGGCAGGGUUCUAUGUGUACUCUGACGUGGAGUACCUGGAGCUUUUGCAAGGGGCGUGUUAGGUUUCUUGCAACUUGCACCUGAGCAUCCAGAGUGCUCUGCAAAUCCCAGCCCCAAACUUCUGCUUCCACAGAUCUCCUGGAGAGCGUGGCGCACUCAACUUUCUGGACAUUGCUGCAAAAACCUAGCAUGCAGCCUCUGACUUCAUCAUUUCAUCUUAAUUACGGUCCGAUUCGCGGACUUUGGGUGGGAACAGACCAGAGCUAGAGAGACUCAUCCAUUAGUUACUAACUACCCAGAGGGGAGAGCAGUGCUGGCAGUCCAAAUUGCAAGGUGCGCUGCCUUCAGCGUGCGGCGUCUUCGCCCUGGAGAAGCAUUACGCUGGCCCGCCUGCCUCCAGGGCCACACGGAAACGUGUUCUGCAAACUUUCUCCAAGGGCUCGGGGGCUAGAUUGUGUCUCGCUCCGCUGCCUCUCCCCCUGCCUCAAUUUCGACUCCUGCCAGACAGCUCAGCCCCUCCCUCUUCGGACCCGAAGUCCACGAGCCGGAACUCAGAGCAGGAGCCGAAGGACCCCAGCGCAGAAUCCGUGGAGGCGCACGGCUUCAUCCACCGCGCUCCCAGAUGGGGUCCCAGCCCAGAUCCGGCCACGAAGACACAGGCAACCCCGGCCUGGGUUUCCUGUUCCAUGAGCUCCAGGAAGGCGACAGUCAGUGCUUGUCUGGGGACCCGGACCGGUGCUUUGGGGAACUCCCCCGGAGGGAGAGAGUUUGGGGAACUCUCCCGAGAAGGGAACUUUCCCGGAGAGGGGGGCGUGGACCGGACGCUGCUGCGCCUCCUCUCUCAGGCCGCGGUUCUAUGGCUGGGCAUAUUAGCAGCACGCACCCGUAAUCCAAGGUGCUCUGGAGGAUCGCUUGAGCCCAGAGUUCAAGGCUUCAGUGAACUGUGAUCCGGCCACUGCCUUCCAGCCUGUGCUACAGAGCUAGACCCUGUCUCUAAAAUUAGAUACAUAGAUAAAUUACAUGAAUAGAUGACAGAUAGAUAGAGAUAGAAAAAUC
rnacentral:lncRNA from 10 species